rnacentral:rRNA from 1 species
GACGAACGCUGGCGGCGUGCCUAAUACAUGCAAGUAGAACGCACAGUUUAUACCGUAGCUUGCUACACCAUAAACUGUGAGUUGCGAACGGGUGAGUAACGCGUAGGUAACCUGCCUGGUAGCGGGGGAUAACUAUUGGAAACGAUAGCUAAUACCGCAUAAUAUUGAUUAUUGCAUGAUAAUUGAUUGAACGAUGCUAUUGCAUCACUACCAGAUGGACCUGCGUUGUAUUAGCUAGUAGGUGAGGUAACGGCUCACCUAGGCGACGAUACAUAGCCGACCUGGGAGGGUGAUCGGCCACACUGGGACUGAGACACGGCCCAGACUCCUACGGGAGGCAGCAGUAGGGAAUCUUCGGCAAUAGACGAAAGUCUGACCGAGCAACGCCGCGUGAGUGAAGAAGGUUUUCGGAUCGUAAAGCUCUGUUGUAAGAGAAGAACGGGUGUGAGAGUGGAAAGUUCACACUGUGACGGUAUCUUACCAGAAAGGGACGGCUAACUACGUG